UACGGAGGGUGCGAGCGUUAAUCGGAAUCACUGGGCGUAAAGCGCGCGUAGGCGGCUUUUCAAGUCAGGGGUGAAAUCCCACGGCCCAACCGUGAAACUGCCUUUGAAACUGUAGAGCUUGAGUGUCGGAGAGGGUGGCGGAAUUCCAGGUGUAGGAGUGAAAUCCGUAGAUAUCUGGAGGAACACCGGUGGCGAAGGCGGCCACCUGGACGACAACUGACGCUGAGGUGCGAAAGCGUGGGUAGCAAACAGG
rnacentral:rRNA from 1 species